rnacentral:rRNA from 1 species
UACGAAGGGGGCUAGCGUUGUUCGGAAUUACUGGGCGUAAAGGGCGCGUAGGCGGCGCUGUAAGUGAGAUGUGAAAGACCCGGGCUCAACUUGGGAAGUGCAUUUCAGACUGCAGUGCUAGAGUGCGAGAGAGGAAAGUGGAAUGACGCAUGUAGAGGUGAAAUUCGUAGAUAUGCGUUGGAACACCAAUGGCGAAGGCAACUUUCUGGCUCGCAACUGACGCUAAGGCGCGAAAGCGUGGGGAGCAAACAGG